GGUUAAGCGACUAAGCGUACACGGUGGAUGCCCUGGCAGUCAGAGGCGAUGAAGGACGUGCUAAUCUGCGAUAAGCGUCGGUAAGGUGAUAUGAACCGUUAUAACCGGCGAUUUCCGAAUGGGGAAACCCAGUGUGAUUCGUCACACUAUCAUUAACUGAAUCCAUAGGUUAAUGAGGCGAACCGGGGGAACUGAAACAUCUAAGUACCCCGAGGAAAAGAAAUCAACCGAGAUUCCCCCAGUAGCGGCGAGCGAACGGGGAGCAGCCCAGAGCCUGAAUCAGUGUGUGUGUUAGUGGAAGCGUCUGGAAAGGCGCGCGAUACAGGGUGACAGCCCCGUACACAAAAAUGCACAUGCUGUGAGCUCGAUGAGUAGGGCGGGACACGUGGUAUCCUGUCUGAAUAUGGGGGGACCAUCCUCCAAGGCUAAAUACUCCUGACUGACCGAUAGUGAACCAGUACCGUGAGGGAAAGGCGAAAAGAACCCCGGCGAGGGGAGUGAAAAAGAACCUGAAACCGUGUACGUACAAGCAGUGGGAGCACGCUUAGGCGUGUGACUGCGUACCUUUUGUAUAAUGGGUCAGCGACUUAUAUUCUGUAGCAAGGUUAACCGAAUAGGGGAGCCGAAGGGAAACCGAGUCUUAACUGGGCGUUAAGUUGCAGGGUAUAGACCCGAAACCCGGUGAUCUAGCCAUGGGCAGGUUGAAGGUUGGGUAACACUAACUGGAGGACCGAACCGACUAAUGUUGAAAAAUUAGCGGAUGACUUGUGGCUGGGGGUGAAAGGCCAAUCAAACCGGGAGAUAGCUGGUUCUCCCCGAAAGCUAUUUAGGUAGCGCCUCGUGAACUCAUCUCCGGGGGUAGAGCACUGUUUCGGCAAGGGGGUCAUCCCGACUUACCAACCCGAUGCAAACUGCGAAUACCGGAGAAUGUUAUCACGGGAGACACACGGCGGGUGCUAACGUCCGUCGUGAAGAGGGAAACAACCCAGACCGCCAGCUAAGGUCCCAAAGUCAUGGUUAAGUGGGAAACGAUGUGGGAAGGCCCAGACAGCCAGGAUGUUGGCUUAGAAGCAGCCAUCAUUUAAAGAAAGCGUAAUAGCUCACUGGUCGAGUCGGCCUGCGCGGAAGAUGUAACGGGGCUAAACCAUGCACCGAAGCUGCGGCAGCGACGCUUAUGCGUUGUUGGGUAGGGGAGCGUUCUGUAAGCCUGUGAAGGUGUGCUGUGAGGCAUGCUGGAGGUAUCAGAAGUGCGAAUGCUGACAUAAGUAACGAUAAAGCGGGUGAAAAGCCCGCUCGCCGGAAGACCAAGGGUUCCUGUCCAACGUUAAUCGGGGCAGGGUGAGUCGACCCCUAAGGCGAGGCCGAAAGGCGUAGUCGAUGGGAAACAGGUUAAUAUUCCUGUACUUGGUGUUACUGCGAAGGGGGGACGGAGAAGGCUAUGUUGGCCGGGCGACGGUUGUCCCGGUUUAAGCGUGUAGGCUGGUUUUCCAGGCAAAUCCGGAAAAUCAAGGCUGAGGCGUGAUGACGAGGCACUACGGUGCUGAAGCAACAAAUGCCCUGCUUCCAGGAAAAGCCUCUAAGCAUCAGGUAACAUCAAAUCGUACCCCAAACCGACACAGGUGGUCAGGUAGAGAAUACCAAGGCGCUUGAGAGAACUCGGGUGAAGGAACUAGGCAAAAUGGUGCCGUAACUUCGGGAGAAGGCACGCUGAUAUGUAGGUGAAGUCCCUCGCGGAUGGAGCUGAAAUCAGUCGAAGAUACCAGCUGGCUGCAACUGUUUAUUAAAAACACAGCACUGUGCAAACACGAAAGUGGACGUAUACGGUGUGACGCCUGCCCGGUGCCGGAAGGUUAAUUGAUGGGGUCAGCGCAAGCGAAGCUCUUGAUCGAAGCCCCGGUAAACGGCGGCCGUAACUAUAACGGUCCUAAGGUAGCGAAAUUCCUUGUCGGGUAAGUUCCGACCUGCACGAAUGGCGUAAUGAUGGCCAGGCUGUCUCCACCCGAGACUCAGUGAAAUUGAACUCGCUGUGAAGAUGCAGUGUACCCGCGGCAAGACGGAAAGACCCCGUGAACCUUUACUAUAGCUUGACACUGAACAUUGAGCCUUGAUGUGUAGGAUAGGUGGGAGGCUUAGAAGUGUGGACGCCAGUCUGCAUGGAGCCGACCUUGAAAUACCACCCUUUAAUGUUUGAUGUUCUAACGUUGACCCGUAAUCCGGGUUGCGGACAGUGUCUGGUGGGUAGUUUGACUGGGGCGGUCUCCUCCUAAAGAGUAACGGAGGAGCACGAAGGUUGGCUAAUCCUGGUCGGACAUCAGGAGGUUAGUGCAAUGGCAUAAGCCAGCUUGACUGCGAGCGUGACGGCGCGAGCAGGUGCGAAAGCAGGUCAUAGUGAUCCGGUGGUUCUGAAUGGAAGGGCCAUCGCUCAACGGAUAAAAGGUACUCCGGGGAUAACAGGCUGAUACCGCCCAAGAGUUCAUAUCGACGGCGGUGUUUGGCACCUCGAUGUCGGCUCAUCACAUCCUGGGGCUGAAGUAGGUCCCAAGGGUAUGGCUGUUCGCCAUUUAAAGUGGUACGCGAGCUGGGUUUAGAACGUCGUGAGACAGUUCGGUCCCUAUCUGCCGUGGGCGCUGGAGAACUGAGGGGGGCUGCUCCUAGUACGAGAGGACCGGAGUGGACGCAUCACUGGUGUUCGGGUUGUCAUGCCAAUGGCACUGCCCGGUAGCUAAAUGCGGAAGAGAUAAGUGCUGAAAGCAUCUAAGCACGAAACUUGCCCCGAGAUGAGUUCUCCCUGACUCCUUGAGAGUCCUGAAGGAACGUUGAAGACGACGACGUUGAUAGGCCGGGUGUGUAAGCGCAGCGAUGCGUUGAGCUAACCGGUACUAAUGAACCGUGAGGCUUAACCUU
rnacentral:rRNA from 1 species